CUUUCUUUAGGGCAAUUUUAACUCAUCUCAUUGUUUGCUUUUCCACUUGUAUGACUAUUUCUGAAGGCUAAAUUCACUGAAGCAGAAUUGUUGGCUGAAAGAGCUCGAAUGCUUAAAACAUUAACAUAUACUACCAAGUUGCCCUUAGAGAUUCUCUGACCCCCAUGAAUCUUAAAGUUCAUGAUAAGAAAUGAUCUAACUAAUGUUUGAAUGGGCAAUUCUUUAUGAUUAGUGAGACCAGGUUUUAUAAGUUGCUUGUCACAUCUCUUGUUCUUUUUUUUCCUCCUUAGUUUACUUUUUUUAUUAACUCAAUCUAAGAAUGUUGCUCAUGUUGAGGGGCUGUAAAAGUAGUUCUAUCCACUAUAAGCCAAAGUGAAUUUCUAUGUGCUUUUCUGACCAUUUUGGUGACAGAAUGGUUAUUAGGAAAGUCCAGGCAAAACUCCCAGAAGUAAGUGGCUUUGGUGUGGUGGGUUUACUAAAAUGAAGCUCAGUAUGGGAGGCAAAGGUUAUGGCAAAGUAUUAACAGCUGGUGGCAAACAGGCUGGAUCCGGUGGCAUGAUAAACAGAAUAAACAACCAAAGAUGAUGUGUGAGCUGCCAAAAUAGUAACAGGAAGACAUGUGCCUUGUUCCCACUGAGGGCGCUUGUAAUACACUCAGCCUGACUGGCCUUCUGUCUGCUCACAGCUAGGUACAGAGUCAGUACUGCAUUUAUUUUUCUCUGGCUUUAUCUGUCCCCAAUCUGUCGUCCUUUCUACCACUGGUUUACCUUGCUUUACCUCCUUUUUACUGAAUUCUAACCACAAAGCAAGGCCAGAGCUGAGCCGUGCCUCUAAAUGUUUUCCUGAAAUAAAGGAAAAAAUCUAAACAUUUCAUUAAAAAAAAACUAUAACAACCCAGAACUAUAGCCCAUUAUUAUUAUUUUUGGAAAGUGGGAAAAGGGUUCAAUUUCUAGUCUGAAAGAUUGUGAAUGUCCUCAGGAUUAGUAUGUAUGGGAACCAUCAG